UAAACUAUAUAAUUUUAAAAAAUUGCAGCGUAUAAGGGACCAUUCAUCAUUUAUACCCCGGGUUGGUACCGGAGAGAUAUGGUUUGGGUAAUCACGUUUUUGACUAUAGCUGAUGGGUUGAGUAAAAAAAUUAUGGCUGUCUGUCAGCUAUAAAGUAAAACCAAAAUUACCAUGCAUUGGAAAAUAUGAAGAAAAAUGUAUACAAUACAUUCUGUACCAAAAUAGACCAUCAGUGAUUGAGGAAGGACUCUAUCAUUGAUUAGCAAACGUGAUUGCUUU